AGAGUUUGAUCCUGGCUCAGGAUGAACGCUAGCUACAGGCUUAACACAUGCAAGUCGAGGGGCAUCGAGAAGUUAGCUUGCUAACUUUGUCGGCGACCGGCGCACGGGUGAGUAACGCGUAUCCAACCUUCCCCUUAGUAGGGGAUAGCCCGGCGAAAGUCGGAUUAAUACCCUAUGUUAUCCGAAGAGGACAUCUGAAUUGGAUCAAAGGUUAACCGCUAAGGGAUGGGGAUGCGUCUGAUUAGGUAGUAGGCGGGGUAACGGCCCACCUAGCCGACGAUCAGUAGGGGUUCUGAGAGGAAGGUCCCCCACAUUGGAACUGAGCCAUGAUCAAACUC
rnacentral:rRNA from 1 species